UUAGAUCCGUUUCGACCCAGAAAACUUACACGUUUCCCUUAGGGCCAGGACAUUAAAUUCUUGAAAACAACCAGAUGCCCAUGUUCUUGUAUUAUAAAGCUAAUGAUUGAACAGUGAUGACCACAAGAGAUUUACUGUUUUAUUUUACAGAUUAAGUUUUAAGACAUGACUACAUUAAAGUUACCAGUUUUAUUAGUAUGUGUGCUUGUAAUACACCACACAGUGGCAGCACCAGCCUUACAUGACAUGGUGGCAGCACCAGCCUUACGUGAUAUGGUGGCAGCACCUGCAUUACAGAUAUCAAAGAAAUUUCACGCGCCAACAGAUGGAUCAUGUGACUAUACAUCUUUGUUGAGAUGUCUGGUGAGCUCGACUACUACUUUAUAUGAUGACUGUGUUACAAAGUGUGAGAACGACUAUGAUACAAGACAUAAGUGUCAAAAAGUAUGUUAUGAAACAGGUUACACAAAACUGGAAGCAUGUAUCAUAAACUUUAGCAUCAGAGCUAAGUAUGAGUUUUAGUUGCGGUUUACGAUUUUAGUUGCGGUUUACGAUUAAACAUUGUACGAUUCUGGAUUUGUGGCGAUUGGAAAGUUGAACAUAAAAAGUAACUGUAUGUGUAUUCAGCACUUCGCCUUGCUUCGUUGAUAGACAAAAACGACCAGUACUACCGCCUUUUUUUUAGAGUUAUCACUCAGUCUGCAGUAUCAAAAAAACAUGUAUGUUUGAAUUGUAUGUAAUAUGUGUAUGAUACCACACUGUAAAGGUAAUCGUACAUUUUCGUUGAAAAAAAUCCAUUUUUGUAUACCGUGAUAAUAGAUAUUAAAAGUGUUGAUAGAAACAUUGUUUUUAAAUCGCUUUAUUUGGGGAAAAUUGAAAUUGUAGUUUCGUUGUCAUGAAAUAAUUUUUUACCUACACUGUGUCGUGGAAUUCUUUUAAGUGUACGAAAAGCGAAUUAUUGUUUCAUGAUGAUCAUUUAUGGCUGUGAUGUUUCAAGAGAAAGACAUUUGAAUCGGAUGCGUUUGUAAUACUUCAUAAAUCAUAUUAUUGAGUAAUUACACAGUUUAUUGAGUAGAAUCUCGAUAAAUACUAUUACUACAGCAUUUGUUCAUUCUAAUAAACCAUUUUAUUCAU